CGAACCUGCCGCAUGCAGGGGGAUACCGGCUGGAAACAGCCGCUAAUACCGCAUAUGCGCACGGCGCCGCAUGGCGCAGUGCGGAAAGGGAGCGAUCCCGGCAUGCGAUGGGUCCGCGUCCGAUUAGCUUGUUGGCGGGCAGCGGCCCACAAGGCGACGAUCGGUAGCCGGCCUGAGAGGGCGGACGGCCACAUUGGGACUGAGACACGGCCCAGACUCCUACGGAAGGCAGCAG
rnacentral:rRNA from 1 species